rnacentral:rRNA from 1 species
AUGUCUAGGAGAAUGUACCAAGGUGGUUCCUCGGUGAAGAAAGGGCCCAGGAUUGCUAUACGUGAGCAAGACGUUGAAUUACCCAGGGAUGCAGAUGUACGAGCCUGUGAGUGGACAUCCGAUGAUUUUAUGGUGGAAGCAAGUUUUAAGGAGGAAUUUGACGCGUAUGUGUGUAAUGCUGAUCUGGAGGACUUCUUACAAGAUAAGUGUCCUCGGUACUAUCAAUUGACUGAUUCCUUUGUGCGGAGGUUUAAAUAUAACUGUACGUGUAAUUCUCCUAGUGUCCUAUUUGAUAUUUAUGAUACAUCUUAUACCAUGGACUCAUAG